rnacentral:rRNA from 1 species
GACGAACCGUGCGAACGUUGUUCGGAAUCACUGGGCUUAAAGGGCGCGUAGGCGGGCUGCCAAGUCCGGGGUGAAAUCUUUCGGCCUAACCGGAAGCGUGCCUCGGAUACGGGCGGCCUCGAGGGGGGUAGGGGCAUGUGGAACUUCCGGUGGAGCGGUGAAAUGCGUUGAUAUCGGAAGGAACGCCGGUGGCGAAAGCGACGUGCUGGACCCCAUCUGACGCUGAGGCGCGAAAGCCAGGGGAGCGAACGGG